GUUCGGCGGACGUGCGGUGAGGGACCCGGGGGACGGCACCGUGAAGCCGAUGGUGCAGCGCCUCCCCCAUCCCAGCCGCCGCUUCCCGGUUUCUUCUCCCGUUUGCACCGAGUCUUUGAUGCGAUGCUGCCUGACGUGCCAUGGAUUUUGAGCAUUUUCUCUCCUCAUUUCAGAUUCCCAGUAUCCACCUGAUUUUGCACGUGAAUUAUUGCUGGUCUUGCUCACAAAACCGAGGCCAGAAGCACAAACUGACAAAUGCAGAUCCCUUUUGCGUCAGGGUGGAUGUCGGAUGUGGAAGUCGUUCCUCACUUUCUUUGAAGCCAGUGUAAACCCUGAGAACAGAAAAUCUCGCUGCCUUUUAUGAAUCCUAUUGUAUAAUCAUUCUAGAAAUAUUUUGCUGAUGACCUGUAAUUACCAGUCGCAAUUUUGAUGAAGUCUGAACAAAUCCGGGAUCUCCAGUGAGGUAUUGACGAGCAUCAGAUUCCAGGUCUAUUUUCUGCAAAAUGUAAUGAAACGGAACAAAGCAAUUAAUUAUUAAUAUCCACAAACUAACAACAAGGAUGUGAUUGGAACCCAUGUGUGUUAAAAAAAUAAACAGAUUAGCAAUCCAUCAGUUUAACCUCUCAGUCACCUGUCUGAGUUUAGAACACAGUCUCACACCCUUUUUCCAUCCUUGAAAACUUGGUAAGAAGGUUCUGAAUGAGCAGCCUGGUGUGCAAUGUUGGAAAUGCAGCUUCUGUAAGUGAAAGGAAUUUCUAUCACAUCAGAUCAGGUGCUGUUUGGAAUGGACUAAUGUGAAACAUUUCCUGACAAAUUAAAUUAUGACAAAAGCAAAAUCCUGUAGAAUGUAUUAAAACCUCAUUGGUUGUUGAACAUUCUGUCAAUUGAAAACAAAACUACUAUUUAAUGUGUUUAAAAAAAUAUACCUGGGUUGAUAUUAAAUACCUGUGUUAAAUCUC